ACGGCCGCGCGCACGCGCCUCGGAUCGCUCUGCGCGACGCCGCCCGCAUAGUCGUGUGCGGCGCGUUGUCGCGCGGCUACGUCGGCCAGGCGCGCGGUGGCGUACGAGAGACGCGCGCACGUGUACAGCGCUUCGCAACCGGUCUCGGGGCGUCUGCGCGAUGCCUCGCACAUGACGGCCUUGGUCUCGGUCGCGAGCCACGUGGUAGUCGGAGCGGCGACGGUCGAGGCCAACGCCAGAGUGGGCGCCGCCAACGGCUGCCCGGGUAUGCCCGACCACAACGGGUGGCACUGUUGUGUCGCAUCCAUCGACAGGGCGACGCCCGCAAUGCCCUCGGCCAGGUUGGACGCCACGGCGCCAAUCACCUCGCUCACCGGCACGGGCACGCCUCCUGCGUUGGGCAUCGUCGAGGACGAUACGGACGGCAUCGCGCCUUGCGUGCGCUUGCCCUUGGCGCAGCGCGCGCACGUUGCCUUUUUUGUGUGUGCCGAUGGCGAUUGCGACGCCGAUGACGACACGACGCGCGCACCGGGAGGGUGACUACGGCGACGCACGGUCCAUGCGACCCCGCCACUGGUGCUGCGUCCGCAUACAUAGACGCACACGCCCUUGAUGUGAGGACGGUCCGCAAUGCCCACCGUCGCAGACCAGGGCUCUCGAUUGGCGUUCUUGCUCGCCGGCAUCGCAACUGCAAUGAUCGGCGCACAGUCGGGGGACGACAUUGUUGAAGACGCCGGCGACGGCAUCGGCGGUUCCUGAUGCUCACGGACCCUGGGCUCAUCAUCCCCAUCCCCAUCAUCAUCGCCGUCGCGCAUAGCCAUGGGCACGAUGGCGAUCGGCGGAGGACGACGCGGCGCAUUGGCGGCAGUGCAUGCCAGGCACGCGGGCCGACUCCACAGAGGCCGGUGGAUGGCAAACACGCCGAGCGAUCCAGACGCCACGGCAUGCUCUACCGAUGCAAUGAAUCGGCGCGCCGUGGCGUUUUCAAAGGCCUCUUCGAUCGUGGCCAGGCGCAAGCGCAUCGACCCUUCAAUGUCACGCGGAUCGAGACCCGCACAGCCAGCCGCUCCCAGCCGUUUCGCGCACGACGUGUGGCAUACGUCGCGCGCCGGCGGCGCAUCCGAGCCGCCAUAGUCGGGAGGCGGUGGCAACGGCGUCGCGCGCGACCAUCCCAUUGUAACGGCCGCACCGUCGAUAUAGAGCGACGUGGCGGUCGUGAGCGAAAACGCAGGGCGCAUGCGAUGAGUCACACCUUUUGUGGCGCCCGCAUCGGUCCUUUUCAUGUUGCUGUUGCCGCUCGCGGCGAUGUUGCCUAGAGCGCGCGGUUUGCUGAUGGUGCCCCUCACACCGAGCGGGUUCGCGCUGCCGUAUUUGACGGGCUGUCUGAGCGACACGCCCGUAAGGCAACCGACGCCCAUGACCGAAAGCGCGUCGACGGCGUCCCUAUACGACUCUGGGAGCACGCCGGUCGGCGACUGUGACAUUGGCACGACCGACGACGACGGUGGCAGCGCCGCGAGCAGCGAUGCCGUAUAAGAGAGGGGCUCGGAUGCCGACGGCGGCAUCAGCGCGCAAUCGCGUCGCGCGCCCUGCUGGGGCGUGGAGCCCUCCGUGUCUUGGUGUGUCGCGGCCGUCGGGUCUGUUCCGCGGGUCGACCCCACGAUGUGCGCGCAGACGGGCAAAAGCCGGGUCGAACCAAUAGGCGAUGUGGCAGGGGCGCGAGAAAGAAGAAUAUUCCGCAGAAAGCUUUGAGGAGAAAAACAGGCAACGAAAUGCGACGCUCACUGCACAACAAAGAGCCAAGCGUCGAAAAAGGAGGAAACAGUGAGGCGGAGAGAUGAAAAGAAAAUAGAAGAUCGUGGCACCCGCGCACUAGCGUGGCCCCGAUUGUGAAGCGGCAACGACAAAAACAAAAAAAUAGGGAAAAAAAGAGUUCAUAAAGACGACAUAGCGCGUACGUGAUGGCGACGGCGAUGAUGG
rnacentral:lncRNA from 1 species